rnacentral:rRNA from 1 species
GACGAACGCUGGCGGCGUGCUUAACACAUGCAAGUCGAACGAAGUGGCGCACGGGUGAGUAACGCGUAAUACACCUGCCCUUCAGAGGGGGACACCAGUUGGAAACGACUUCUAAUCCCGCAUACUGACGGUGGGGUUUGCGUCUGAUUAGCUAGUUGGCGGGGUAACGGCCCACCAAGGCGAUGAUCAGUAGCCGGGCUGAGAGGAUGAACGGCCACAUGGGGACUGAGACACGGCCCAGACUCCUACGGGCUGCAGCAGUGGGGAAUCUUCCGAAAUGGACGAAAGUCGGACGGAGCAACGCCGCGUGAGUGAUGACGGCCGUCGGGUUGUAAAGCUCUGUUAAUCGGGACGCGGUACCGGAAGAGAAAGCCACGGCUAACUACGUGCCAGCCGCCGCGGUAAUUC